rnacentral:tRNA from 2 species
AAAAUCCGUCGACUUUAAAAAUCGUGAGGGUUCGAGUCCCUCUAUCCCCA